UACGGAGGGGGCAAGCGUUAUUCGGAAUUAUUGGGCGUAAAGGGCGCGUAGGCGGCUAGAUGUGUCAAAGGUGAAAUCCCUCGGCUCAACUGAGGAACUGCCUUUGAAACUGUCUGGCUUGAGGCCGGGAGAGGGUAGCGGAAUUCCCAGUGUAGCGGUGAAAUGCGUAGAUAUUGGGAGGAACACCAGUGGCGAAGGCGGCUUCCUGGACCGGUACUGACGCUGAGGCGCGAAAGCGUGGGUAGCAAACAGG
rnacentral:rRNA from 1 species